rnacentral:rRNA from 1 species
GGUGGUGAGGAGAAGACGGAGAGGAAGAAGAACAGGUCAGCAAGACGCGCUGCUGCCAAGGAGCCUGCAAAACCAAACAGCAGCGCCUCCUGGGUUUGCUUGGAGUGCGGUAGCUUUUUUUGUGGUGGUGCAGGAUUCGAGCCAGAGGGCCAUGUUAGAGCACAUCACAAGGAGCAACCUGGGCAUCGGUGGUUUGCCAACACCUAUGAUAAAGAUGCACUGUACUGUUGUGAGUGUAACCAGAAGGUUCCACUCAAGGUUUUUAAGUAUCGUCCAUCACAAUCAGCAGAAGCUUCAACUGAGUUAGAGGCAAACACCAACCCGCUUGAUCCGAAGGAUGAUGAUGCCAAGGAGGACGUUGCCAAAUAUAAUGUCAUCAGGGGGCUGCGGAAUCCCGGCAACGCCUGUUUUUUCAAUGCCAUGCUGCAGUGCUUAUUGGCCCUUGACCCACUGCGCAGCAUGAUGAUGGGACAAAACGUUUGCAAAGGGCCAAUUGCUGCGCUUUUCAAAGAGCUCUUUGUCGACACAAGUCCUUCAAGCAAUGCAAAACGCUACCUUGACCAAACAAAAUUGUUUGCAUCUGUCUGCUCAAGGUGGCCCCAAUUCAGUACCGGCGGAAUGGAGGAUGCCGAAGAACUCAUCCAAUGUUUUCUUCAUGGUUUGGAUCAAGAGGAAGAUGAAGCACGUCAACCUUCAACGGAUGCUCCAAAGAAGGUCUCAAUUGUCAAGUCCAUCUUUGCAGGCGAGGAGUGUAGUGCUCUAACCAGCACAGAAUGUGUACACAGUUCC